rnacentral:lncRNA from 1 species
UAGCGGAUGAUCCCCAAGUUGGACCCAAGACGUCUUCAUCUUGAAAAUAGUGAUGAAGAGGUCGGGAUGUUCUUAUCGAAUGAAGAUUAGUUUCUUUUCUUUUUAUAGUUUCUUUUGAUGUUUUCUUUUUGAUAACUUUUGUAAUAAACUUUAAUUAAUGAAAAAUAUAUUUUUAUUAUAUUUACCUUCCAAACAAAGCUCUUUGUUUCUUCUUAGUGCCUAUGUUGAUUAACUUG